rnacentral:rRNA from 1 species
GGUCAUUUAGAGGAAGUAAAAGUCGUAACAAGGUCUCCGUUGGUGAACCAGCGGAGGGAUCAUUACCGAGUUUACAACUCCCAAACCCAAUGUGAACCAUACCAAACUGUUGCCUCGGCGGGGUCACGCCCCGGGUGCGUCGCAGCCCCGGAACCAGGCGCCCGCCGGAGGGACCAACCAAACUCUUUCUGUAGUCCCCUCGCGGACGUUAUUUCUUACAGCUCUGAGCAAAAAUUCAAAAUGAAUCAAAACUUUCAACAACGGAUCUCUUGGUUCUGGCAUCGAUGAAGAACGCAGCGAAAUGCGAUAAGUAAUGUGAAUUGCAGAAUUCAGUGAAUCAUCGAAUCUUUGAACGCACAUUGCGCCCGCCAGUAUUCUGGCGGGCAUGCCUGUCCGAGCGUCAUUUCAACCCUCGAACCCCUCCGGGGGGUCGGCGUUGGGGAUCGGGAACCCCUAAGACGGGAUCCCGGCCCCGAAAUACAGUGGCGGUCUCGCCGCAGCCUCUCCUGCGCAGUAGUUUGCACAACUCGCACCGGGAGCGCGGCGCGUCCACGUCCGUAAAACACCCAACUUCUGAAAUGUUGACCUCGGAUCAGGUAGGAAUACCCGCUGAACUUAAGCAUAUCAAUAAGGCGGAGGAA